GUGCCAGCAGCCGCGGUAAUACGUAGGUGGCAAGCGUUGUCCGGAUUUAUUGGGCGUAAAGCGAGCGCAGGCGGUUUCUUAAGUCUGAUGUGAAAGCCCCCGGCUCAACCGGGGAGGGUCAUUGGAAACUGGGAGACUUGAGUGCAGAAGAGGAGAGUGGAAUUCCAUGUGUAGCGGUGAAAUGCGUAGAUAUAUGGAGGAACACCAGUGGCGAAGGCGGCUCUCUGGUCUGUAACUGACGCUGAGGCUCGAAAGCGUGGGGAGCGAACAGGAUUAGAUACCCUGGUAGUCCACGCCGUAAACGAUGAGUGCUAAGUGUUGGAGGGUUUCCGCCCUUCAGUGCUGCAGCAAACGCAUUAAGCACUCCGCCUGGGGAGUACGACCGCAAGGUUGAAACUCAAAGGAAUUGACGGGGGCCCGCACAAGCGGUGGAGCAUGUGGUUUAAUUCGAAGCAACGCGAAGAACCUUACCAGGUCUUGACAUCCUUUGACCACUCUAGAGAUAGAGCUUCCCCUUCGGGGGCAAAGUGACAGGUGGUGCAUGGUUGUCGUCAGCUCGUGUCGUGAGAUGUUGGGUUAAGUCCCGCAACGAGCGCAACCCUUAUUGUUAGUUGCCAUCAUUUAGUUGGGCACUCUAGCGAGACUGCCGGUGACAAACCG
rnacentral:rRNA from 1 species